rnacentral:lncRNA from 1 species
ACCCGUCUGCAAGCCAGGAAGAGAGCCCUUGCCAGAAACUAAACCCCGCUGGAAACUUGAUUUUGCGCUUUCCAGCCUCUAGAACUAAUAUGUGAAAAACAUUUAAAUCAGAAAGUAAAUGACAGGAUGAUUUGCAAGACACAGGGAUGUAAAAUUAAAAAGCCUCUCGAGCUCCAAAGCUACCUGUUAACUUCAACAAGCACACUGGCCUGGAGACUACAUGAUGGUGUAUCAGUAAUGGUGCCUCUCCAUCAUUGCCCAUCAAAGACAUUUCUGAUGCUCCAGAAGGAUACCCUUGAGGUCAUCCUGUUCUCACCUCCAAUAUUCAUUAUGAUCUCUAACAUCACUAUAUACAACAUUUUUGUAUAUAUAGAA